GUGCCUGCUUCGGCAGCACAUACACUAAAAUUGGAACAAUGCAGAGAAGAUUAGCACGGCCCCUGCGAAAGGAUGACACACAAAUUUGUGAAGCGUUCCAUAUUUUA